AUUGGAAUUAUCACAGGUGCGCCCAGCAUCGCUAUAGGUAUAUUGGUUUUUGGAAUCGGUUAUUGCAACGAUCUCAUCAUUAAAAAAGGCAUACUGACAGCAACAUCUGCAAGGAAAAUUUGCACCAUGAUAGGUGGUAUUCUGUCCAUGAUUCCACUUAUGAUGAUAGCCUUAACCAAAUGUAAUUUGAAACUGAUCAUCUCCUAUUCAACAAUUCACCAUGUUACGAGUGUGUUUCUAAUGUUUGGACCUACCUUGGUUCUCAUGGACCUGAGUCCAAAAUUUUGUGGAAUUCUGGAACGAUUUUCUGGUACAACAAGUUCCCUACUCGCGUUCGUUUUUUCUACAAUGGUGAAUUACUUUACCACAAUCUAUGAUGUCGAGUUAUUAUGGAAAAUGGUGUUCUUGUGCACAGCAACGGGUGCUAUUUUUGCAAGCAUAAUAUUCCUGAUUUUUGGCACGUCCGAAGUGCAACGUUGGAAUUUCAAAGAUGAUACCGAAAAAGAUCCACCACUGAAUGCGUCACGUAGUAAUCGAGCCCUAAUUUUGUAAUCGAACAAGUUUCUAGUUAUAAUGUGUGUAGUACAUGUCAA